rnacentral:rRNA from 1 species
AUACGAAGGGGGCGAGCGUUAUUCAGUUUAAAUUGGUGUAAAGAGUUCGUAGAUUGUAAAAAGGUUGUUUGAAGAAAAAAAAAGAGACUCAAUCUCUUGUUACAAAUUUAAAAACACUUUUACUUGAGUAUAAAAUAGGAUUGUAGAAUUUUAAAGGGAGAGAUAAAAUUUGUAGAGCUUUAAAGGAACACCUGAGGCGAAGGCGACAAUCUGGUUUAUUUUUACUGACGUUGAGGAACGAAAGAAUAGGGAGCAAACAGGAUUAGUCCCCUGGUAGUCUAUUCGGUAAACUAUGAGUGCUCGUAUUUAGAAUUUUAUAUUUUAGAUACUAUGUUAACACGUUAAGCAUUCCACCUGAGGAGUAUAGUCGCAAGGCUGGAACUCAAAGGAGUUGACGGGGGCCUAUACAAGUGGUGGAGCAUGUGGUUUAAUGCGAUAAUACGCGCGAAAUCUUACCAGCUUUUGUUUUUUAAAUUAUAGCUGUACAAUAUAGAUUGUUUUCAGUGUUUUUUUUAACAGGUGUUGCAUGGCUGUCGUCAGCUCGUGUUGUGAAAUGUUUGGUUAAUUCCUUUAACGAGCGCAACUCUUUUUUUUAGUUACAACUUUUCAAAAAGGUACUCUAAAAAGAUUUUUUAUGAUAAGUAAAACGAAAGAGAAUCACGUCAAGUCCUCAUGGCCCUUAUAAGCUGGGCCACACACAUGCUACAAUGGUAAUUACAAAGCGCAGCAAGAAUGUAAAUUGGAGCAAAUCGUAUAAAAGUUACCUUAGUUCGGAUUGUUGACUGCAAUUGUCAACAUAAAGUUGGAAUCACUAGUAAUCGUAAAUCAUCACGUUACGGUGAAUAUGUACCUAG